GUGGGGAAUCUUGCGCAAUGGGCGAAAGCCUGACGCAGCCAUGCCGCGUGAAUGAUGAAGGUCUUAGGAUUGUAAAAUUCUUUCACCGGGGACGAUAAUGACGGUACCCGGAGAAGAAGCUCCGGCUAACUUCGUGCCAGCAGCCGCGGUAAUACGAAGGGGGCUAGCGUUGCUCGGAAUUACUGGACGUAAAGGGCGCGUAGGCGGACAGCUUAGUCAGAGGUGAAAGCCCAGGGCUCAACCUUGGAAUUGCCUUUGAUACUGGCUGUCUUGAGUUUGGGAGAGGUGAGUGGAACUCCGAGUGUAGAGGUGAAAUUCGUAGAUAUUCGGAAGAACACCAGUGGCGAAGGCGACUCACUGGCCCAAUACUGACGCUGAGGCGCGAAAGCGUGGGGAGCAAACAGGAUUAGAAACCCUAGUAGUCC
rnacentral:rRNA from 1 species